rnacentral:rRNA from 1 species
GACGUAGGGCGCGAGCGUUGUCCGGAUUUAUUGGGCGUAAAGAGCUCGUAGGCGGUCUGUUACGUCUGCUGUGAAAAACCCGGGGCUUAACCCUGGGCUUGCAGUGGAUACGGGCAGACUAGAGGCAGGUAGGGGAGAAUGGAAUUCCCGGUGUAGCGGUGAAAUGCGCAGAUAUCGGGAGGAACACCGGUGGCGAAGGCGGUUCUCUGGGCCUGACCUGACGCUGAGGAGCGAAAGCGUGGGGAGCGAACAGG